AGUGGGGAAUAUUGGACAAUGGGCGAAAGCCUGAUCCAGCCAUGCCGCGUGUGUGAAGAAGGCCUUCGGGUUGUAAAGCACUUUCAGCGAGGAAGAACGCUUCGGGAUUAAUACUCCCGAGGAAAGACAUCACUCGCAGAAGAAGCACCGGCUAACUCCGUGCCAGCAGCCGCGGUAAUACGGAGGGUGCAAGCGUUAAUCGGAAUUACUGGGCGUAAAGCGCGCGUAGGUGGCUAAGUCAGCCAGGUGUGAAAGCCCCGGGCUCAACCUGGGAACGGCAUCUGGAACUGCUUGGCUAGAGUGCAGGAGAGGAAGGUAGAAUUCCCGGUGUAGCGGUGAAAUGCGUAGAGAUCGGGAGGAAUACCAGUGGCGAAGGCGGCCUUCUGGACUGACACUGACACUGAGGUGCGAAAGCGUGGGUAGCAAA
rnacentral:rRNA from 1 species